UAGGGAAUCUUCGGCAAUGGGGGGAACCCUGACCGAGCAACGCCGCGUGAGUGAAGAAGGUUUUCGGAUCGUAAAGCUCUGUUGUUAAGGAAGAACGAGUGUGAGAAUGGAAAGUUCAUGCUGUGACGGUACUUAACCAGAAAGGGACGGCUAACUACGUGCCAGCAGCCGCGGUAAUACGUAGGUCCCGAGCGUUGUCCGGAUUUAUUGGGCGUAAAGCGAGCGCAGGCGGGUAGAAAAGUCUGAAGUGAAAGGCAGUGGCUCAACCAUUGUAGGCUUUGGAAACUGUUUAACUUGAGUGCAGAAGGGGAGAGGGGAAUUCCAUGUGUAGCGGUGAAAUGCGUAGAUAUAUGGAGGAACACCGGUGGCGAAAGCGGCUCUCUGGUCUGUAACUGAAGCUGAGGCUCGAAAGCGUGGGGAGCGAACAGG
rnacentral:rRNA from 1 species